rnacentral:rRNA from 1 species
GACCGGGCUGGAAACAGUCCUUCCCCUUUGGGGCCGGUUCACAGGUGGUGCAUGGUUGUCGUCAGCUCGUGUCGUGAGAUGUUGGGUUAAGUCCCGCAACGAGCGCAACCCUCGUUCCAUGUUGCCAGCGCGUAAUGGCGGGGACUCAUGGGAGACUGCCGGGGUCAACUCGGAGGAAGGUGGGGACGACGUCAAAUCAUCAUGCCCCUUAUGUCUUGGGCUUCACGCAUGCUACAAUGGCCGGUACAAAGGGUUGCGAUACUGUGAGGUGGAGCUAAUCCCAAAAAGCCGGUCUCAGUUCGGAUUGGGGUCUGCAACUCGACCCCAUGAAGUCGGAGUCGCUAGUAAUCGCAGAUCAGCAACGCUGCGGUGAAUACGUUCCCGGGCCUUGUACACACCGCCCGUCAAGUCACGAAAGUUGGUAACACCCGAAGCCGGUGGCCUAACCCCUUGU